rnacentral:rRNA from 1 species
GGUUAAGCGACUAAGCGUACACGGUGGAUGCCCUGGCAGUCAGAGGCGAUGAAGGACGUGCUAAUCUGCGAUAAGCGUCGGUAAGGUGAUAUGAACCGUUAUAACCGGCGAUUUCCGAAUGGGGAAACCCAGUGUGAUUCGUCACACUAUCAUUAACUGAAUCCAUAGGUUAAUGAGGCGAACCGGGGAACUGAAACAUCUAAGUACCCCGAGGAAAAGAAAUCAACCGAGAUUCCCCCAGUAGCGGCGAGCGAACGGGGAGCAGCCCAGAGCCUGAAUCAGUGUGUGUGUUAGUGGAAGCGUCUGGAAAGGCGCGCGAUACAGGGUGACAGCCCCGUACACAAAAAUGCACAUGCUGUGAGCUCGAUGAGUAGGGCGGGACACGUGGUAUCCUGUCUGAAUAUGGGGGGACCAUCCUCCAAGGCUAAAUACUCCUGACUGACCGAUAGUGAACCAGUACCGUGAGGGAAAGGCGAAAAGAACCCCGGCGAGGGGAGUGAAAAAGAACCUGAAACCGUGUACGUACAAGCAGUGGGAGCACGCUUAGGCGUGUGACUGCGUACCUUUUGUAUAAUGGGUCAGCGACUUAUAUUCUGUAGCAAGGUUAACCGAAUAGGGGAGCCGAAGGGAAACCGAGUCUUAACUGGGCGUUAAGUUGCAGGGUAUAGACCCGAAACCCGGUGAUCUAGCCAUGGGCAGGUUGAAGGUUGGGUAACACUAACUGGAGGACCGAACCGACUAAUGUUGAAAAAUUAGCGGAUGACUUGUGGCUGGGGGUGAAAGGCCAAUCAAACCGGGAGAUAGCUGGUUCUCCCCGAAAGCUAUUUAGGUAGCGCCUCGUGAAUUCAUCUCCGGGGGUAGAGCACUGUUUCGGCAAGGGGUCAUCCCGACUUACCAACCCGAUGCAAACUGCGAAUACCGGAGAAUGUUAUCACGGGAGACACACGGCGGGUGCUAACGUCCGUCGUGAAGAGGGAAACAACCCAGACCGCCAGCUAAGGUCCCAAAGUCAUGGUUAAGUGGGAAACGAUGUGGGAAGGCCCAGACAGCCAGGAUGUUGGCUUAGAAGCAGCCAUCAUUUAAAGAAAGCGUAAUAGCUCACUGGUCGAGUCGGCCUGCGCGGAAGAUGUAACGGGGCUAAACCAUGCACCGAAGCUGCGGCAGCGACGCUGAUGCGUUGUUGGGUAGGGGAGCGUUCUGUAAGCCUGCGAAGGUGUGCUGUGAGGCAUGCUGGAGGUAUCAGAAGUGCGAAUGCUGACAUAAGUAACGAUAAAGCGGGUGAAAAGCCCGCUCGCCGGAAGACCAAGGGUUCCUGUCCAACGUUAAUCGGGGCAGGGUGAGUCGACCCCUAAGGCGAGGCCGAAAGGCGUAGUCGAUGGGAAACAGGUUAAUAUUCCUGUACUUGGUGUUACUGCGAAGGGGGACGGAGAAGGCUAUGUUGGCCGGGCGACGGUUGUCCCGGUUUAAGCGUGUAGGCUGGUUUUCCAGGCAAAUCCGGAAAAUCAAGGCUGAGGCGUGAUGACGAGGCACUACGGUGCUGAAGCAACAAAUGCCCUGCUUCCAGGAAAAGCCUCUAAGCAUCAGGUAACAUCAAAUCGUACCCCAAACCGACACAGGUGGUCAGGUAGAGAAUACCAAGGCGCUUGAGAGAACUCGGGUGAAGGAACUAGGCAAAAUGGUGCCGUAACUUCGGGAGAAGGCACGCUGAUAUGUAGGUGAAGUCCCUCGCGGAUGGAGCUGAAAUCAGUCGAAGAUACCAGCUGGCUGCAACUGUUUAUUAAAAACACAGCACUGUGCAAACACGAAAGUGGACGUAUACGGUGUGACGCCUGCCCGGUGCCGGAAGGUUAAUUGAUGGGGUCAGCGCAAGCGAAGCUCUUGAUCGAAGCCCCGGUAAACGGCGGCCGUAACUAUAACGGUCCUAAGGUAGCGAAAUUCCUUGUCGGGUAAGUUCCGACCUGCACGAAUGGCGUAAUGAUGGCCAGGCUGUCUCCACCCGAGACUCAGUGAAAUUGAACUCGCUGUGAAGAUGCAGUGUACCCGCGGCAAGACGGAAAGACCCCGUGAACCUUUACUAUAGCUUGACACUGAACAUUGAGCCUUGAUGUGUAGGAUAGGUGGGAGGCUUUGAAGUGUGGACGCCAGUCUGCAUGGAGCCGACCUUGAAAUACCACCCUUUAAUGUUUGAUGUUCUAACGUUGACCCGUGAUCCGGGUUGCGGACAGUGUCUGGUGGGUAGUUUGACUGGGGCGGUCUCCUCCUAAAGAGUAACGGAGGAGCACGAAGGUUGGCUAAUCCUGGUCGGACAUCAGGAGGUUAGUGCAAUGGCAUAAGCCAGCUUGACUGCGAGCGUGACGGCGCGAGCAGGUGCGAAAGCAGGUCAUAGUGAUCCGGUGGUUCUGAAUGGAAGGGCCAUCGCUCAACGGAUAAAAGGUACUCCGGGGAUAACAGGCUGAUACCGCCCAAGAGUUCAUAUCGACGGCGGUGUUUGGCACCUCGAUGUCGGCUCAUCACAUCCUGGGGCUGAAGUAGGUCCCAAGGGUAUGGCUGUUCGCCAUUUAAAGUGGUACGCGAGCUGGGUUUAGAACGUCGUGAGACAGUUCGGUCCCUAUCUGCCGUGGGCGCUGGAGAACUGAGGGGCUGCUCCUAGUACGAGAGGACCGGAGUGGACGCAUCACUGGUGUUCGGGUUGUCAUGCCAAUGGCACUGCCCGGUAGCUAAAUGCGGAAGAGAUAAGUGCUGAAAGCAUCUAAGCACGAAACUUGCCCCGAGAUGAGUUCUCCCUGACUCCUUGAGAGUCCUGAAGGAACGUUGAAGACGACGACGUUGAUAGGCCGGGUGUGUAAGCGCAGCGAUGCGUUGAGCUAACCGGUACUAAUGAACCGUGAGGCUUAACCUU